UCGCCUCUCGGUCAAUCUCCACCGUUUCAGGUUUGCAGUCAACAAGCGCAUAAUAGGAGCGUUUCAGGUUUGCAGUUUCAGAGUGCCAACAUCCCGCUUUUACUUGCUUCAUGUUUGUAAUAGUUUCAUAUUUGCAGUUUGAUUCUAAACUACCCAAAUCUUUUCCACUGCAAUCGAUGACUGAUUUUCUUAGACAUCUGUAGAUGUCUCUUCACACCAUAUAAUCCUUGAUAAAAUUGCUUGGAUCUCAUUACAAACGGUUCAAAGUGAUUUAAUCUCAGAAUUUUAGGAUUAUGUUUUUUAAAUGUGCACGUGCUCCAUUAUGCACAUUUUGUGCUAUUUUCUUUGUUUGAUCAAUUCAUGGGUGUUGAAGCUCUGCUUGUUUCCAUGUUAAAAACUAGAGUUCAUCUAUUUAUUAAGAAAUCCUAGUUUUAUCAGUAUUAAUUUGGUCAAAUUUGAGUGCAUUAAAUUGGAACAGAUGGGAGUACAUAUUCAGAUGCUAUCAGAUAACAUCAUUAUACUUUGGGCAGGUAUAAAAACAAAUGAACAGUGGCCAGAAUUUCGAAUUUGAGCUCCAAAAAAAAUAUUAAUGGAUUUGGUGCCUGCGUCAGGUUUCAGGCUUGGAUUUGUCCGGACGAGCUCUCUACGACUGAUGAUCGGCUGGCUCCGGCGGCAUACGAUGGAAGAAUCUUGGCGACUAAUGUCCUCUGCAUUGUGAUUUUUUGGACGAUGAGUGUGUGUUUG
rnacentral:lncRNA from 1 species